UGCAAUGCACUCUGGGGUCACGUGACGGAUUAACUCAUAUGUACAGAAUAUUGCUGUAAAUUUCAAAUCUACAAUGGCGGGAGGAUCUUCAACAGUCGAGAUUGGGUUAGUGCGCAAAAUGAGUGAUUCACACCUGUGCUGAACAGCAGAGGGCAGCAAAUGUUUACAUUCCAUCCCAGCACUUCCCAGCAUGCUUUGGAAUGGCACCCCAAAGGAAAUCUCAUCAAAGCAGAGAGCCCCACCCUCGUACCAAGCUGUGAAAUGUGCUUGAAGACGAAUGAGUGAGUGUGACUCUUGGUAGGAUUAAUCUCUUCCUAAAGAUGAAUCAUCUCCUCCGCCUCACUGCUAUGACAGCAUCACGCGCAAUCACGCUGCAUGGAGGCAAACUGCUUCUCUCAGUCUUUCUGGUUAUAAAGAAGAUGCUUCAUUACAUCCUAUGGUUCCCAGGAAACCAACCUGGAAUUUGUUUGCCUGCUUGGGCGUUUUGAUUAUCAUUGUGAUAUAUUCACUCUGACCUCAUGCUUGAACACAUGAGUUUCACAUGUAAACACAUGGGGAAGAAUGUUUAAUUCAAGUAUUUUUGUUUAUUCCUGUUUGUUUGUGUUUAAAUAAAAUGUUGUGUUUGGAAUUUUCAGUCAUGUUAGUGAAUCUCAUGGUUCAGGUAUAGUAAAAUGAGAACAUGCUCAGCACGGUUAUAACAAUCAUAUUUCAUUUAAAGGGAUUGUUCAACCAAAUGUGAACAUUCUGUCAUCAUUUACUAACCCUUGUGUCAUUUAAAAUCACCUAUAAGAUUCUUUAUUCUGCAAAACACAAAAGAAGAUAUUUGGAAGAAUGUUUGGAACCGGAUGACAGCGGUACCCAUUCACUUCUAUUUUAUGGACACAAAACCAAUACGAGUCAUUGGGUCUGAAAACACUGUUUUGUAUCAUCCUGAAAACCUGAUCCAUAGGAUGAAAAUGCUUUUCGCCUACUUUCUUACCUCAGCAUCAGGACUCGACAAGACCCCACCGAGUGAGUGACUGGAUGAGUUAGCUCAGCUCGUAUCAAGAGAAAACAUAGUUUGCUGUCAGCAUUCUUGCGGGGAUGUGUGUGCGCGUAUGUGUGUGUCAGCAUGUCAAAGCUUUUCAAGCUGGUGUGCAUCUUUGCAUCAGGCAUUUUCCACGUGUCAGUGUUGCCCUUGCCAUAUGUUAUUUUUAUAUGUGCGUGCGUGUGCACAGCUCGUGUCCAUUUAUUUGGUGUGCGUUCCAUGAACAGACGCGCUGCAUUGCAGUUUACUUUUAAAAAGCGACAGUUUAUACCGGCAGCAUGAUUGAACUCUGUGUAAUUGCAUGUUUGUGAAAGCGUGCGUGUGUGUUUUUCAAGUGCAUAUGGAACAGUUGAAGGAUAUUAAUGGUGGAACCAUGUUAAUUAAGAAUUCCCACAAGCCUCCCCCUCGGUACUCCAGAAUGUUUCUUACCGACAGGCUUUGAUUGGAUGCGGUCCAGGAAAUGGACGUGGAUUUAGAAAGGAUAAUUUAGAGGCUAGAUCUCUGAAUAUGUUUAUACAGUCGAACCCCAUUAGUAUUCAGUAGCCUCAAUGUUAUCUGUGAUGGCAAAAGCUGACAGUAUGUGAUAUCGGUUGAAACACUGGUGUGUGCAAAAACUUGUUUAAGAUUAAAAAUAGAAAUGUUAUUCAUGUCUGAACUACAAAGAUUUGUGCUUUCUGUCAGCAUUUCCACAUGAGUCUGAUAUCAAAGCUUUCAUUACCUGAUUCAAAGUCAACAGAGAUUCAUUCAAGAGAUUCAUCCGAGUCAUCAGAGAUUCAUCUGUGUCAUCAGAGAUUCAUCCGUGUCAUCAGAGAUUCAUCCGUGUCAUCAGAGAAUCAUCCGAGUCAUCAGAGAUUCAUCCGUGUCAUCAGAGAUUCAUCCGUGUCAUCAGAGAUUCAUCCGUGUCAUCAGAGAAUCAUCCGAGUCAUCAGAGAUUCAUCCGUGUCAUCAGAGAUUCAUCCGUGUCAUCAGAGAUUCAUCCGAGUCAUCAUAGAUUCAUCCGAGUUGUCAGAAAUCCAUCCUUGUAGUCAGAUAUUCAUCUGGAAUUUAUAAGAGAUACAGAGAAUGUGAUCAGUGAUUCAUCCGAGAUUCAUCAGUGAAUCGCUGACGACUCAAACAAAUCACAGUGAUUCAUUAGAAAUCUGUUCGACAUGGUAAGACACUAUAAGCUUUUCAUAAUGUUGAUAUGAAUUGACUGGAAUUCACGUUACAAUUUUCUUGUUAAUCAUAAAUAGACGAAUCAAUGAUGACUCAAAGCAGCACUGUGAUUUGCAUGAGUUGUCAGCGAUUCGUCCAAGAUUCUUCCAAAAUUCAUCUGAGGCAUCAAGGAUUCAUCUCAGUCAUGAUAGAUUCACAAGUAAUUCAUCAGGGAUUCAUGAAGACUUUAUCAGAAAUGAAUUGAAGUCAUCAGUGAUUCACCAAGAGAUUUGUCCGAAAUUCUACAGAUUCAUCAGAAAUCUUUGAGACAUGAGUGACACUUAGGACCCCGGGCCAGCAGUCACAUCACAGAUUGCUGCCUAGCGGUGUGUAAAUCCAUAUAGCACAGAGAGGAGAGGGCAGGUGCUGACACAAGUCAUCCUGAAACAUUCAGCCUCGGGUAGCAAAAAUCCCCUUGUUGAUACUUGAGGUUUAACAUGACCCAACAGAAGACCAACUCGACAUCAUUCUGCCAUCAUGUGUGACAGACUAUGGAUCUAUAAAAACACGUUUCAGGACAAGCUUUACUAAAUAAUCGAUUGUCUUUUUAGGAUUCCAUUUAGUAUUUGAAAUCUUCUAUUCUUGAAGUAUGAUUAUUAUUUUUGAACUGUAUGGCAAUUCAGUUGAGACGCGGUUAUAUUUACAAUCUUGGUGACUGUGGUGAAGAUACGACAGACCCGCCUCUGAAAGGGACUGUAAUGAUAUGCUGAUGCAUUCUGGGUAAUAGUAACCGAGACCUGUUAUAGGAAGAAGGUGGUGCACCCUUGAGAUUGAAAAUCAAAUUCCUGUCUGAACUCUUAAACAAAUUGAUUCCUUAACCUGGCUCAGUUGUGAGAUGUUGUAUUGAAUAACAAAAUAUCAGUAUCACAGUCCGACGUUUGGAUUGGCUAGGCGCCGAUGUUU